CCGGUUCACUUUAACACUGAGGCGUGACGACGAGGCACUACGGUGCUGAAGCAACAAAUGCCCUGCUUCCAGGAAAAGCCUCUAAGCAUCAGGUAACAUCAAAUCGUACCCCAAACCGACACAGGUGGUCAGGUAGAGAAUACCAAGGCGCUUGAGAGAACUCGGGUGAAGGAACUAGGCAAAAUGGUGCCGUAACUUCGGGAGAAGGCACGCUGACACGUAGGUGAAGUGAUUUACUCAUGGAGCUGAAGUCAGUCGAAGAUACCAGCUGGCUGCAACUGUUUAUUAAAAACACAGCACUGUGCAAACACGAAAGUGGACGUAUACGGUGUGACGCCUGCCCGGUGCCGGAAGGUUAAUUGAUGGGGUCAGCGCAAGCGAAGCUCCUGAUCGAAGCCCCGGUAAACGGCGGCCGUAACUAUAACGGUCCUAAGGUAGCGAAAUUCCUUGUCGGGUAAGUUCCGACCUGCACGAAUGGCGUAAUGAUGGCCAGGCUGUCUCCACCCGAGACUCAGUGAAAUUGAACUCGCUGUGAAGAUGCAGUGUACCCGCGGCAAGACGGAAAGACCCCGUGAACCUUUACUAUAGCUUGACACUGAACAUUGAGCCUUGAUGUGUAGGAUAGGUGGGAGGCUUUGAAGUGUGGACGCCAGUCUGCAUGGAGCCGACCUUGAAAUACCACCCUUUAAUGUUUGAUGUUCUAACGUGGACCCGUUACCCGGGUUGCGGACAGUGUCUGGUGGGUAGUUUGACUGGGGCGGUCUCCUCCUAAAGAGUAACGGAGGAGCACGAAGGUUGGCUAAUCCUGGUCGGACAUCAGGAGGUUAGUGCAAUGGCAUAAGCCAGCUUGACUGCGAGCGUGACGGCGCGAGCAGGUGCGAAAGCAGGUCAUAGUGAUCCGGUGGUUCUGAAUGGAAGGGCCAUCGCUCAACGGAUAAAAGGUACUCCGGGGAUAACAGGCUGAUACCGCCCAAGAGUUCAUAUCGACGGCGGUGUUUGGCACCUCGAUGUCGGCUCAUCACAUCCUGGGGCUGAAGUAGGUCCCAAGGGUAUGGCUGUUCGCCAUUUAAAGUGGUACGCGAGCUGGGUUUAGAACGUCGUGAGACAGUUCGGUCCCUAUCUGCCGUGGGCGCUGGAGAACUGAGGGGGGCUGCUCCUAGUACGAGAGGACCGGAGUGGACGCAUCACUGGUGUUCGGGUUGUCAUGCCAAUGGCACUGCCCGGUAGCUAAAUGCGGAAGAGAUAAGUGCUGAAAGCAUCUAAGCACGAAACUUGCCCCGAGAUGAGUUCUCCCUGAGACUUAAAGUCUCCUGAAGGAACGUUGAAGACGACGACGUUGAUAGGCCGGGUGUGUAAGCGCAGCGAUGCGUUGAGCUAACCGGUACUAAUGAACCGUGAGGCUUAACCUUACAACGCCGAAG
rnacentral:rRNA from 1 species